rnacentral:rRNA from 1 species
GUCUUUUUGAUUAUACUUUAAAGUUUGACCUGCCCACUGAUUAUUUGAAUGGCCGCGGUAUAUUGACCGUGCAAAGGUAGCAUAGUAAUUAGUUUUUUAAUUGAAAGCUGGAAUGAAUGGUUGGAUGAGAAAAUAACUGUCUCUUAAAAAUUUAUUAGAACUUUAUUUUUAAGUUAAAAAGCUUAAAUGAAUUUAAAAGACGAGAAGACCCUAUAGAGUUUUAUAUUUUUAAAUUUUUAUUUUUUGGAAUUUUAAAUUAAAAUUUUAAAAUUUAUUUGGUUGGGGUGAUUAAAAAAUUAAUUUAACUUUUUUAGAAUUAUAACAUUUAUUUAUGAAAAAUUGAUCCAUUAUUAUGAUUAAUAGAUAAAAUUACCUUAGGGAUAACAGAGUAAUUUUCCUUGAGAGUUCAAAUCGAAAGGAUAGAUUGCUACCUCGAUGUUGGAUUAAAAUUUAAUUUUGGUGUAGAAGCUGAAAAUUUAGGUCUGUUCGACCUUUAAAAUUU